rnacentral:rRNA from 1 species
GCAGCAGCCGCGGGAAUACGUAGGUGGCAAGCGUUGUCCGGAAUUAUUGGGCGUAAAGGGCUCGCAGGCGGUUUCUUAAGUCUGAUGUGAAAGCCCCCGGCUCAACCGGGGAGGGUCAUUGGAAACUGGGAAACUUGAGUGCAGAAGAGGAGAGUGGAAUUCCACGUGUAGCGGCGAAAUGCGUAGAGAUGUGGAGGAACACCAGUGGCGAAGGCGACUCUCUGGUCUGUAACUGACGCUGAGGAGCGAAAGCGUGGGGAGCGAACAGGAUUAGAUACCCCUGUAGUCCCUGUCUCUUAUAC